rnacentral:rRNA from 1 species
GACGAACGCUGGCGGCGUGCUUAACACAUGCAAGUCGAACGGAAAGGCCCUGCUUUUGUGGGGUGCUCGAGUGGCGAACGGGUGAGUAACACGUGAGUAACCUGCCCUUGACUUGGGGAUAACUUCAGGAAACGGGGGCUAAUACCGGAUAGGAGCUCCUGUUGCAUGGUGGGGGUUGGAAAGGUUCGGCGGCUGGGGAUGGAGUCGCGGCUUAGCAGCUUUUUGGUGGGGGAGUGGCUUCGGCCGGCCUUGACGGGUAGCCGGCCUGAGAGGGUGACCGGCCACAUUGGGCCUGAGAUACGGCCCAGACUCCUACGGGAGGAAGCAGUGGGGAAUAGUGCACACUGGGCGGCAGCCUGAUGCAGCAACGCCGCGUGCGGGAUGACGGCCUUCGGGUUGUAAACCGCUUUCGCCUGUGACGAAGCGUGAGUGACGGUAAUGGGUAAAGAAGCACCGGCUAACUACGUG